CCAUAUUCUCACUAUUCUUUUUUUCCUUUCGUUGCCAGUUGAUGUUGUGGCUGCGAAGAUUGAAUCCAAGGUAGCCAAUACUGUCAUUAGGCAACUUAAUCAGGUGUGCCCACUGGAGAAUCUGCGGCAUGUUAAGCGGGUGCGUCGUCGUAUUCAGUGUG